UCUACGGGAGGCAGCAGUGGGGAAUAUUGCGCAAUGGGCGAAAGCCUGACGCAGCGACGCCGCGUGAGGGAUGAAGGUCUUCGGAUCGUAAACCUCUGUCAGCAGGGAAGAACGGUCACUGUGCUAAUCAGCAGUGAAUUGACGGUACCUGCAAAGGAAGCACCGGCUAACUCCGUGCCAGCAGCCGCGGUAAUACGGAGGGUGCGAGCGUUAAUCGGAAUUACUGGGCGUAAAGCGCUCGUAGGCGGUAUGUCAAGUCAAGGGUGAAAUCCCCGCGCUAAACGUGGGAACUGCCUUUGAAACUGGCAAACUGGAGUGUGUGAGAGGAUAGUGGAAGUCCAGGUGUAGGAGUGAAAUCCGUAGAUAUCUGGAGGAACAUCAGUGGCGAAGGCGACUAUCUGGCACAUAACUGACGCUGAGGAGCGAAAGCGUGGGUAGCAAACAGGAUUAGAUACCCCAGUAGUC
rnacentral:rRNA from 1 species